CGUGCACCAGCGCCUCCGCGCGCAGCCCAAGCACGUCUGCCACACCUGCGGGAAGGCCUUCCGGGGUAAGAGCGUGCUAGUGAACCACGUGCGGACGCACACGGGGGAGAAGCCGUUCGAGUGCACGGAGUGCGGGCGUCGCUUCACGCAGCGCACCGCCAUGCGCACGCACGUCAAGCUCGUGCACCUCAAGCUCGCCAGGACUGCUAAGGUAAAGCCCGAAGUCCCCGCGCCGCCGUCCCCGAAGCUGGACGCGUACAAGCCGGAGCCCCUCAUCCUCCCAGAGCCCUGGAGACAGCCUUGCGAUGUCUUCUUCAGCGUCAGCGCAGGACCUUAGACUGACCCAUCAUCAUCUCCCGAGCACCCAACUAUGUUGGGGUCGGCUUCCAGUCUAACCGCAUGCAGCUGAGUACCAGUGUGCCAAGGAGCGACUGCCUAUCUGACCUCCUCAACCCAGUUACCCGGGCAACCCAGUACCCCUUGGUUGGACUGAUGUCAGACUUACUGGGACCUUAUACUUAUGGAGAACAGAAUGACUAGCGGAGAUGUCAUAACGCAAUAUCUCCUAAGAAAUUAGCGACAAUAUGCGGGGCGAGGGGGACGAGGAACGAUACUGUCUUCACCCUUUUUUUAAAAGGGUAACCAUGGAGUUUCUUGCAAGUUCUUCUCCAUAGGAAGCUACUUUUGCAAUGGACAACUAGAAUCAGACUUAUUUAUAUUUUUGACGUUCAUAUAGUUAUCGGCACGAAUCUUGAGCUCUGAUUAUACCUGCGCAGAAGUAAUUUGUCGGGUCCCUUUUGUGGUAUGAAGUGAGGCGCGGGGGCUAAAGUGGUGAUUGUCCCGCAGCGCAUCGCGUCAUAGCCGUCACUCGGGAUUGGUUCUUUGCUAAUAAAUCACUUCUGUGCAGAUGUAGGUCAGAGCUCAAGAUUCGUGCCGAUAACUAUAAGUGCUUGUAUAGGCCUUAAUGAAAUAAAUGAUUUGACUUUGA